GAUUGAACGUGUUAGAUUUCCACGAUGGAAGAAGAGUUCAAAGAGGGGCUGUCUCUUUAUGAGUUAAAACGUUUAAAGAGAAUUAAGGAGAACCAAACAUUAUUAGCUCAAUUGUUUCCAGAGGGCACAAAACUGAAGUCACCGGCAAAGAAGAAAUCUGAAACUAAAGUAACAAUUGUCAUAACAUUAAUUACUACAGGCUGAGAAAGCACAUGAUUCCCACUCAGGAGCACAUGCGCUCCUGACUCUUCACAUUAUAAAUAUCCUUGUAGGACAAUUAAUGGUAACAAAAAUGAAUAUUCCCCUUUGUGUACAUAUGUUGCCAUAAAGUGUCUAUGAUGUCACCUUAAUCAGACUAUUCCCCAGACUGACUCAAGCACUAUAAGAUGUAAGUGGCUGUUUAGAUCUACAAUUUUGCUGCACAUGCAACUGCAUCUCUUUGUAUGAGUCCUGAUAUAUUAUAGUCUAGUAUUACAAUGAUUGUAGGCUCAGGACUGUAUGGUUUGACUAGUCACUGUAGGUCAGACUAAUACAAUAUCAUGUUCAUCAUUAAAUUUUUGGUACACCUAUAUAGCAGUUUAGUUCUAGCCAAUCACAUAUGUGGGAGCAUACCUUACUCACCACACCUACCACCCACGACACUUAUGUUUGGCAGCUAACAUGGUGGUAGAGAUCAUUGCUGAAGUUUGCACUCUUAUUAACCUACCUGCUGGCAUUUAUUUAUUGUCCACUCAUAAUACCCUAUGCCUCAAAGAACACUCAGAGUAUUAUUUGUGCUGUUGGUGGGUUUGCUUUGCUACAGUAUGUUUUCGGCUUGUCUGCUUCUUUGCAUUUUAUGUUGGAUGUCUUUCUCGUCUAUUGUGUUUUUUUAUUAUUUGGAAAAGGGAGAGUCUCUCUAUUA